rnacentral:lncRNA from 1 species
UUUAUCCUCUGAUACUAAUUUGUUCAUCUCUCCACAGCCUUAGCAGUUCAACUUAAGUUUCUCCCAUUAUAAAGAGUCCUCCAACCUCAAAUUCUCUCCAGCUACUAUGCUCUUUUUCCUCUUUCGUCCUUUAUAAUCAAACUCCAUGAAAGAGGGGAAACAUCAAGUCUCCUUUUCUCUACCACUCACUUUACAAAUUAUAGCCCCUAGGCUUCCAUGACCAUUAUUUCAAAUCAUUAAUUCAUAUUCAUAUUGGCAAAUCCAAUGACAUUUUGAUCACUAUUUUUCAAAACAUUUCAGCAAUUCUAACUCAGCUCAUUCUUCAAAAUUUGUCUUUCUUUGGCUUGAGACAACAGAUAGUUUUCAUCCUAUCUCACUAUUAGUCACCUUAGUGUUCUCUUUGUUCUCUGGCUAACCCUACAUGUAUGAUUCUCAACCUUGGCUGUGUAUUAAAAUCACCAAGGAAGGGAUGUCUGGGUGGCUCAGUGGUUGAGCAUCUGCCUUUGGUUCAGGGCAUGAUCCUGGGGUCCUGGGAUGAAGUUCCGCAUUGGGCUCCCUAAGGAGAGCCUGCUUCUCCCCUCUGCCUGUGUCUCUGCCUCUGUCUCUCAUGAAUAAAUAAAAUCUUAAAAAAAAAGUCACCAAGGAGGCUUUUGAAAUACAGGAUAUUGUAGGACACACUGAGACAAAUGAAAUCACAAUCCCUGGAGUGUGGAGACCAGGUACCAUGUUUUCAGAAAGCUCAUCAUUUCGGAUGUACUGUGCAAAUAAGAACCUCUGUCUUAAAUCUUGUCUGCAGGGCUCUGCCACAGGCCCUCUUCUCUUCUUACAGUAUGCAUUUGCUGUACACAAACUUACCUACUCUUGCGGCUUCAGUUAUCUAUAUCCUGAUAAAUUCCAAAUCUGUAUUUUCAGCUCAGAUCUCUCUUCUGAUCACAAGACUGAUGUAUUCAACCCUUUGUUUGGACAUAAAGACUUUUAUGUCUUGUAUGUCUCAAACUCAACGUGUUCCAUACUGAACCAAUCACUCUACAUCCCACAUAUAACCUACUCCACAUAACUGCCCACCCAACAAACACUAAACUCCAACAAUUAUACUUCUUAAAUAUCCCCCCAACUUAUUUCUUUCCUCCCUUUUCGUAUACAGGUCACCAUCAUUGCUUAACUGGACUGAUUCUAGAGCUUCUCAACUGGCCUUCCACCUGUGAUUUUGCUCUCCGCCAAUCUACACACUUCACUGCAACCAGAAUGAUCUUUCUAAAAUGCAAAGUUUAUUACAUUACUCACAUUACUUUGUCAUGCUCUAAACCUUGCAAUGGCUUGUCAUUGCCUUCAGAAUAAAAUACCUUAACACAGCUUAUAAAGUCCUUUAUGACUGAGCCCCUGCUUGUCCUCUCCCCACAUUCAACGUUCAAGCACUAAAUUUUUAGUACUUAGAAGAGUCAUCCUUCUCUCUCCUCUAGGCAGUGACACAAAAUUUUGUCUACGUGAAAUAAACCUAUCUCUUUCCAGGUCUAGCUAACUACUUAUUUUUCAGGUCUCAAUUUAGAUGCCACAGCUUCUAGGAAAGCCUUUCCUAACUUGCUCAAUUAGUGGUAAACACCAAUGGUAGAGCUGGUGCUCAACAAAUAGUCAAAUGUAGCUCUUCUGCAUUUUCUACAUUUCUAGUUAGGUUGGAGGAAUGAAUCUGAUUUCUGGCCAGUAAGAUGUGGAGGACAGAGAUAAAUCACUUAUAGGACUGUUCUUAAAAAUGUCGGGGGUGGGAGGGAUGGUGCCUGGGUGGCUCAGUCAGUUAAGGGUCUGCCUUUGGCUCAGGUCAUGAUCCCAGGGUCUUGGGAUCAAGCCCUGUCAGGCCCCCCUCCUCAGUCUGCUGGUCUUUCUGUCUGUCCCUCCGCCCUACCUGUGCUCUCUCUCUUUCUUUCUCUCUCUCUAGUCUAUCAAAUAAAUAGAAUCUUAAAAAAAUGUCAAGAGGGAAUCUCCAGGUCUCUCUUUCACUGUCAUGACAACUGAAAAAGCCAUUUUCCACUUAUGGAGAUUUCUAGUUUAAUUUGUGAGCAAGUUUGGCCUAGCAUACCCAUACUAAUAACAAUCAGAGCUUCAGUUUCUAUCCUUGUUCAACUUAUAUUUUGAAUAACUUCUCCCAUAUUUUAAAAGUCUCACUUUCUUUUAUCCUAUAGUUUCUCCCCAAACUAGAAUUUCAUCUUUAAAUUCUUAGGCCCUUUAGGUAUGCCUUGCUAGAUGCCUGGAACUGACUAAACAUGGAAAAUAUAUAUUGAUUAACUUUUAAUGGUGAAAUAAUUGAAGCUAUCAAUUCCAAAAAAAAGGGUACUUUAGGUAUUUUAUAAGAGAUCUGAACAAACAAAAUAUAAACCCAAUUACAGUACAGUUAAAAGAAAUGGAAAUGGAGACACAGCUUUGACUUUGAUAAUUCUCUUGCUUCUUUUUUUCUCCAUAAUUCUCCAAAAUUACUUAAGUUUUGAUUCUAAGAACAGUGGAAGCAAGGAAAGCACAAAAUCUUGGGGUCAGAAGAUCCAAGUUCAAGUUUUGGCUACUUCAUUUAGUGGUUGUGUGGCCUUAUGUAUAUCUCCCUGUAUUUCUAUCGGUUUUGAAAUAUGAGGAGUGUGUCUGUUUCUAAAACAAGGUUUCUCAACCUAAUACUAUUGACAUUUUAAAUUGGAAAACUCUUUGUUGUUGGGAGCUGUACUGUAUGAUAUUUAAUAACUUCCCUAACCUCCACCUACUAGCUGCCAGUAGCAACAUCCUGAUUCUCUCAGGUGAGGACAAUCAAAAAUAUCUCCAAACAUUGCUAAAUAUGCUCCAUGGGGCAAAAUCACCCACAGUGGAGAACUACUGUUCUAAAAUAAGAACAAUACUUUAUAAUUCUAUAGCUUUGUUAUUUCAGCAACUUAUCCCCUCAAAUUUUUUCAGGACUCCUAACAAAUUACUAGGUUAAAUGUUUAUAGUCUGUCUGCAGUAUUUCCUUUUCUUUCUCUGUAAUUUCCUUUUCCUUCUCUGCUCUCUUGUAAUUUGCUUUUAAAUAGUCAAAAGCAUAUCAAAGAAAAAGAAAAUGGAAAAGUGUAAAUGUUAAACUGAUUAGACAAUUUGUCCUGGGGUAAUUAAAUAUUGAUAAUAUUGCUCUUUUAACUCUUAGCAGUAUUUCAAUUACUUUUUUCUCUACUCUCUUUUAGAAGAAAAGAGUACCUCGAUUUCCCCUCUCCCACAUACAUAAGACCACUUAAGGUGGCGUCAGAGCUCAGGGAUUCCAAUUAACAUUUAACACUGCCAACACUGAACAUCUAAAACUGUUUCUUCAUUCAGAACACUUUUUUUUUUCAAGUCUGUUGAAGGUUGCAAGAACACUCCACAAAGAAUCUAACUCAUAAUAAUGGAAUUAAUUUAAAAACGAAUGUUAGGCAUACAGACAUGUAUUACCUAUAGUAAGUGAUUUAUACUAUACCACAUACUCUCAAAACAGUUUAUAAAUGUUAACUCGAGAGGUAUCCGGGUGGCUUGGUCGGUUAAGUAUCUUUUUUUUUUUUAAGAUUUUUUUUAAAGAUUUUAUUUAUUUAUUCAUGAGACACAGAUAGAGAGAGGCAGAGACACAGCAGGCUCCAUCCAUGCAGGGAGCCUGAUGUGGGACUCGAUCCUGAGCCUCUAGGAUCACACCCGGGGGCUGAAGGUGGCGCUAAUCCACUGAGCCACCGGGGCUGCCCUCGGUUGUAUCCGCCUUCAGCGCAGGUCAUGAUCCCAGUGUCCUGGGAUCAAGCCUGGCAUCAAGCUUCCUGCUCCAAGGGGCGCCUGCUUCUCCCUCUACCUCUGCCUGCUGCUCCCCCUGCUUGUGCUCUCUCCCUUUCUCUCUCUGUCAAACAAGUAACUAAAAUCUUUUUAAAAAAUGUUACAUCUAAUAAUUAAGUGUUCCCACCUUUUAUAAGAGAGGAAUAAAUUUUAAGCAUCUAAAAAUGAGUCUUCAAAUAAAAGUCCCUCUUUAAAAUACACUUUAUAUUACUGUAGCACCUUAAUGGUAAGUAAAUCAAACAUACUUUUACUUAAAUACAGGUUGUAUAUGUGUAAAGGUAUUAUGAAACCAACAAUAUAUAGUAUGGCAGGGAGUUAACUAUACUUCAUUCCCCAGGAUUACAUUUGAUUUUACAUUCCCUUCAAGAUCUACUGUAGAAAUAACAUAAGGAAGUACUGUAGUUUUAAUUUCUAAAGCAAUAGAAAAAGGGAAAAUUUGUUCAUUUUCAAAACUUAUUUUAAAAUGUUAUCUUAAUACUCACCGUAUUCUUUCAGGAAUUUGAAAAUGAACAUUUACAACAAACAACAUUUUUCUACCUGUUAAAAAGAGUUGCUGAACCUGGAUUUCUUAAUUGUGAUCCAACAUUACAUUUUCAAGUGAUUAGGCAUAUACUGGGAGUAAUGUCAACCUUUUAACUACAUUUAAUGAGUAAAGAGCAAUCGCUUGCCAUAAUUUUAUUUAUUCAUUUAUUAUUUAUACCCUGCUAGCUUCCAAUAAUGAUUUAAGAUUAUUCACCUGGUUUUUAAUAUAC